rnacentral:lncRNA from 1 species
GAGGACUCUUUGGGGUCCAGUGUGGCCCCGAGGGAAGGCACCAGGACGCCCCACAGCUGCGUCUCCAAGCGCGCCUCCUGGCCCACCACCUUGGCCCCCACCGGUGCUCGCUCGCUUACUCAGCUCGGCGACCCCCCGCCUGAAGCACAGCCCCGGCCGCGAUUCCCCGAAAUCCCCGCUGCGCUGAGCCGGGCGGCGGAAGCGGGGACUGUCGGAUGCCUUCCCGCCGCCGCCCUGGGCGAGGCCUGGCCGCUGGGCCCGGCUCGCCGGUUCCCUCCUGUCGUCUGGCCCGCGCGUCCCCGAGGCCUGCAGCCCCUCCUCGGAAGGCGCCGAUCCCCUUUCGCUCUAGUGCUCCCAGGAGAGCAAGGGCAGAAGGGGCACUCUGGAGGCGCCCCCCACCCUGAGGGAGGGGUCUCCCCGUCAGGCCUCCCCCCCCUUUUGGGCCCUCGGCCCCGCGAAGUGGGGAAACGAGGGCGCGGGAGCCGCGCGGGGCUCCGAGGGCUGGUGCUCCCCGGAACCGCACAAGCCGGCGGGUCAAGCCGCCUCCCUCGGACGCGCGCGCCCAGGACCCGUCCCGGAGCCACGGGGGAGGCCUGCGCGUCCCUCCCCUGCGUCCGUCCCUGCUCCGCCCCUCCCCGCUGCCCAUCCCAGCGCCCGGGGCCCGCGGCCCGCUCUCCGGAGCCGGUCCCCGGGGCGCGCGGGGCGCGCGGGGCGCACUCACCGGGGCUUCCUCGAGGCCGGGAGCGCGCGGGCCUCUCCUGGGAGGGUCCCCGGAGGCCGCGACGCGGAGGCGCGCCUGGGGCUCCCGGGCCGCGGCGGGGUCGGAGGCGAGGUUCGCCGCCCCCGCCCCCGCCCCCGCCGCGGUCCCUCCCCCCGGCCCCCCUCCCCGGGCCGCGGCGGCCGAGUGCUCCGCCCGAAGGCGGGUCCGCCAUAAACAAACGCGGCUCGGUCGCACGUGGACCGCGGAGCUGCUGCGGCUCGCGACAGAUCGCGGGCUCCGGGCGCCGCGUCUCCAGGCGAAGGGAAGCGCCGGGGAGGGCAGGAGUGCGCGCCCGGCCCGGCCUCCGCCGCCUCCGCCCCGGCCGCCCGCCGCUCCCCUCCCGCCCCAUGGCUCCGCGGCCGCCGCCGCCGCCCCUGCCGCCCUCCAGCCCGGAGGGGCCUCGCGGCCGCGGGGACGCACACCCGGCCGAGGACUGA